AUGGAUUUGGGGCUGAUUUGGGUUUUCCUUGUUGCUCUUUUAAAAGGUGUCCAGUGCGAGCAGCACCUGGUGUAUUCUGGGGGUGACCUGGUACAGCCUGGGGGGUCCCUGACACUCUCCUGUGUAGCCUCUGUAUUCACCUUUACUAGCAACUGGAUGAAAUGGGUUCGCCAAGCUCCAGGGAAGGGGCUGGAGUGGGUUGCAGACAUUAAUGGAGACAGCAGAGCCAAAAGGUAUGUGCCAUCGGUGAAGGGCCGAUUCACCAUCUCCAGAGACAAUGGCAAGAGCACUCUGUACCUGCAAUUGAACAAUCUAAAGACUGAGGACACGGCCUCCUAUUACUGUGCUAGUUACACAAUGAUGAGACUUAAGUGUGAACCCAGACAUAAACCUCACC